rnacentral:lncRNA from 1 species
CCUCCGACCUGAGAUCACCACGAUGACUUACAAGCAACUCACUGCACUUAGGCACUGGACUACCUGAAUUUCUAAUUCAGUGACGGAAGGCUGCUCGGUGUAGUCAAGUACUUGACUUGUCGGUGCGUGUGUCAAGAUGGGAUUGACCACUCCAGUUUAGGAGCUGUAUACAGUCAUGUUUCAAUUUAGCAAAACCUUGGCCAGGGUAGUCCUAGUGAGGAGUCACA